rnacentral:misc_RNA from 1 species
AGUACUUCGAAUAAACUUAGGCGUUUGUAUAACAAAUUUAAUAUUGCUAUAAUGUUGGGGUAAAUCAAUGGUCACUUCUGCCAACUAAAAUAGAAACAGGAAAUACUUUAGUAUCUUAUUGACAAAUCGGGUACAAUUUCCAGGAACCGGGUGAAAUUUAAUUCCUAAAUUGAUAUUUUUUGCAGGCUCUUAGCCUAGCUAUA